rnacentral:rRNA from 1 species
CAGUAGCCGCGGUAAUACGAAGGGGGCUAGCGUUGCUCGGAAUUACUGGGCGUAAAGGGAGCGUAGGCGGACUGUUUAGUCAGAGGUGAAAGCCCAGGGCUCAACCUUGGAAUUGCCUUUGAUACUGGCAGUCUUGAGUACGGAAGAGGUAUGUGGAACUCCGAGUGUAGAGGUGAAAUUCGUAGAUAUUCGGAAGAACACCAGUGGCGAAGGCGACAUACUGGUCCGUUACUGACGCUGAGGCUCGAAAGCGUGGGGAGCAAACAGGAUUAGAUACCCCGGUAGUCCCUGUCUCUUAUAC